AUGAGUGGAAUAACUUCAUGGAGCGAAUUAAUUGUAAAAAAGAUAGCGAGAUAUGGGAAACUGAGGAAAACAUUUUACAGCUUCGUCACUGGGUCUCCCUAAGAGGACAAACUCUCUGCAGAACAAUUCGAGGAAUGAUGUACUACAGACGAGCUUUGAAGCUUCAGGCUUUCCUUGACAUGGCCAAUGAAAGUGUAUGGUGGGAAGAAUACAUAUACACUUGGUGAAAUUAAUGAAACUCGAAAUGAAUGGGCAGCCAGGCUUCUUGAGCGGAUGAGUCAUAGCUAGAGUAACUUUUGAAAUCAUAAUUAAAAAAUAUACUAAUUGUAGUUUUUAGUUAUCCCUUACAUAGUUAUUCCAAGUGUAUAUUUUGUUCUUGUAAUUUUUAAAUUUGGAACAUACUGAGGUCUAUUGAUUAUUUUGUUUGCCUAUUGAUUAUGUCUGAACUAUGUUGUAAUUACACAGGAAAUUAUGAAUGAAUAUAGUAGUUGAAAAUAAAGAAAUGAAAAAAUUCCCAUAUUCUACA